AGUGAACGCUGGCGGUAGGCCUAACACAUGCAAGUCGAACGGCAGCACAGUAAGAGCUUGCUCUUACGGGUGGCGAGUGGCGGACGGGUGAGGAAUACAUCGGAAUCUACUUUUUCGUGGGGGAUAACGUAGGGAAACUUACGCUAAUACCGCAUACGACCUACGGGUGAAAGCAGGGGAUCUUCGGACCUUGCGCGAUUGAAUGAGCCGAUGUCGGAUUAGCUAGUUGGCGGGGUAAGGGCCCACCAAGGCAACGAUCCGUAGCUGGUCUGAGAGGAUGAUCAGCCACACUGGAACUGAGACACGGUCCAGACUCCUACGGGAGGCAGCAGUGGGGAAUAUUGGACAAUGGGCGCAAGCCUGAUCCAGCCAUACCGCGUGGGUGAAGAAGGCCUUCGGGUUGUAAAGCCCUUUUGUUGGGAAAGAAAAGCAGCAGGUUAAUACCCCGCUGUUCUGACGGUACCCAAAGAAUAAGCACCGGCUAACUUCGUG
rnacentral:rRNA from 1 species